AUGAACGCUGGCGGCGUGCCUAAUACAUGCAAGUCGAGCGAACUGAUUAGAAGCUUGCUUCUAUGACGUUAGCGGCGGACGGGUGAGUAACACGUGGGCAACCUGCCUGUAAGACUGGGAUAACUUCGGGAAACCGAAGCUAAUACCGGAUAGGAUCUUCUCCUUCAUGGGAGAUGAUUGAAAGAUGGUUUCGGCUAUCACUUACAGAUGGGCCCGCGGUGCAUUAGCUAGUUGGUGAGGUAACGGCUCACCAAGGCAACGAUGCAUAGCCGACCUGAGAGGGUGAUCGGCCACACUGGGACUGAGACACGGCCCAGACUCCUACGGGAGGCAGCAGUAGGGAAUCUUCCGCAAUGGACGAAAGUCUGACGGAGCAACGCCGCGUGAGUGAUGAAGGCUUUCGGGUCGUAAAACUCUGUUGUUAGGGAAGAACAAGUACAAGAGUAACUGCUUGUACCUUGACGGUACCUAACCAGAAAGCCACGGCUAACUAC
rnacentral:rRNA from 2 species